UUAGCAGAGCCCGCCCUGUCUCUGCGGCAGCCUAUCGACGCCAGCCCGUGGGCCGAUCCUGUUCCCGCCCCCGACCGGAGCCUUUCGGGUGGCUCCGCCCACAGCGGGCGUUUCCUCGAGCCACGCCUGCGCAGGUCGUCGGGGGAGACUGGUGAAGAGACGACUAUCCCCAGACCGUAUUGUAACUACUAUGGCGCUGUGUAAGAAGCAACCUGAGAAAUGUGGAUGAAAAUCUACAGGCAGAGAUAAGAUGCUGAGUGCUUAGAAGAUAUGGACACUUGAAGAAUCUAUGGACAAGCACUGUUAUGUUUGCUUGGUAGGGUAAAAUCGAAAUUACUAAAGUAUAUAGAUGAGACUGGCAGAGUUCGCUGAAAAAUAAGGGAGAUUUUCUUAGACCAGGAAAAGCAUUCCAGAUCCAGAGAGAGCUCCCUUAUUGGAACACAAACACAGAGACUCCUGGAGCGACCAGUUGGCUGAUUUCGAGUGUACCAUACUACUACCUGCUCUAUCUUUUCAAUGAAGAGCUUUUUGCUACCUAGCACGGGCAGUUUCUUCUUUCUGCAGCCCUGACAAUGAACACCCACCACUCUGGGUCAUUC